GACGAACGCUGGCGGCGUGCCUAAUACAUGCAAGUAGAACGCUGAAGCGAGGAGCUUGCUCUUCUUGGAUGAGUUGCGAACGGGUGAGUAACGCGUAGGUAACCUGCCUGGUAGCGGGGGAUAACUAUUGGAAACGAUAGCUAAUACCGCAUAAAAUUGAUUAUUGCAUGAUAAUUAAUUGAAAGAUGCAACUGCAUCACUACCAGAUGGACCUGCGCUGUAUUAGCUAGUUGGUGAGGUAACGGCUCACCAAGGCGACGAUACAUAGCCGACCUGAGAGGGUGAUCGGCCAAACUGGGACUGAGACACGGCCCAGACUCCUACGGGAGGCAGCAGUAGGGAAUCAUCGGCAAUGGGGGGAACCCUGACCGAGCAACGCCGCGUGAGUGAAGAAGGUUUUCGGAUCGUAAAGCUCUGUUGUAAGAGAAGAACGGGUGUGAGAGUGGAAAGUUCACACUGUGACGGUAUCUUACCAGAAAGGGACGGCUAACUACGUG
rnacentral:rRNA from 1 species